rnacentral:rRNA from 1 species
UACAGAGGAAGUAAUUCUUCUUGAUAAUAAACCGAUCAAAUUUCUGCCCUAUCAUACUUUGGACGGUAAUGUAGUGGAUUACGGUGGUGAUGACGGGUAACGGAGAAUUAGGGUUUGAUUCCGGAGAGGGAGCAUGAGAAAUGGCUACCACUUCCAAGGAAGGCAGCAGGCGCGUAAAUUACCCAAUCCUAAAACAGGGGAGGUAGUGACGAUAAAUAACAAUGAUUCAAUGAUAACAAAGUUGAAUUAAUUGGAAUGAGAACAAUAUAAAUCCCUUAUCGAGUAACAAUUUCAGGGCAAGUUCUGGUGCCAGCAGCCGCGGUAAUUCCAGCUGAAAAAGCGUAUACGAAUAUGUUGCAGUUAAAACGCUCGUAGUUGGAACUAAAAAAGAGAAAGAGAG